rnacentral:rRNA from 1 species
GACGAACGCUGGCGGCGUGCCUAAUACAUGCAAGUCGAGCGGAACACUUGGAGCUUGCUCCAAGCGUUUAGCGGCGGACGGGUGAGUAACACGUGGGCAACCUGCCCUGCAGAUCGGGAUAACUCCGGGAAACCGGUGCUAAUACCGAAUAGUUUGAGGCCUCUCCUGAGGCUUCACGGAAAGACGGUUUCGGCUGUCACUGCAGGAUGGGCCCGCGGCGCAUUAGCUAGUUGGUGGGGUAACGGCCCACCAAGGCCACGGUGCGUAGCCGACCUGGGAGGGUGACCGGCCACACUGGGACUGAGACACGGCCCAGACUCCUACGGGAGGCAGCAGUAGGGAAUCUUCCGCAAUGGACGAAAGUCUGACGGAGCAACGCCGCGUGAGUGACGAAGGUUUUCGGAUCGUAAAACUCUGUUGUGAGGGAAGAACACGUACCAACUAACUAUUGGUACCUUGACGGUACCUCACCAGGAAGCCACGGCUAACUACGUGCCAGCAGCCGCCGUAAAAC